rnacentral:rRNA from 1 species
CCUACGGGAGGCAGCAGUGGGGAAUCUUGCGCAAUGGGGGAACCCUGACGCAGCAACGCCGCGUGGGUGAUGAAGGCCUUCGGGUCGUAAAGCCCUGUCAGGUGGGAAGAAACUUGUGGAUGUCAACACCAUCCAUGCUUGACGGUACCACCGGAGGAAGCACCGGCUAACUCCGUGCCAGCAGCCGCGGUAAUACGGAGGGUGCAAGCGUUGUUCGGAAUUAUUGGGCGUAAAGCGCGUGUAGGUGGUCGUGUAAGUCAGAUGUGAAAGCCUUCUGCUUAACAGAAGAAGUGCAUUUGAAACUGCUCGGCUAGAGUACGGGAGAGGAGAGUGGAAUUCCCGGUGUAGAGGUGAAAUUCGUAGAUAUCGGGAGGAACACCAGUGGCGAAGGCGGCUCUCUGGUCCGAUACUGACGCUGAGACGCGAAAGCGUGGGGAGCAAACAGGAUUAGAUACCCUGGUAGUCCACGCCGUAAACGAUGGGCACUAGGUGUAGGAGGUAUUGACCCCUUCUGUGCCGAAGCUAACGCAUUAAGUGCCCCGCCUGGGGAGUACGGCCGCAAGGCUAAAACUCAAAGGAAUUGACGG